AACGUAGGAGACAAACGUUAUCCGGAGUUACUGGGCGUAAAGGGCGUGUAGGCGGUUUGUUAAGUCUGGCGUGAAAGCUCUCGGCUAAACCGGGAGAGGUCGUUGGAUACUGGCGAACUAGAGGAUGGUAGAGGCGUGUGGAAUUCCGGGUGUAGUGGUGAAAUGCGUAGAGAUCCGGAGGAACACCAGUGGCGAAGGCGACACGCUGGUCCAUACCUGACGCUAAAGCGCGACAGCAUGGGGAGCAAACGGG
rnacentral:rRNA from 1 species